UGAACGCUGGCGGCGUGCCUAAUACAUGCAAGUCGAGCGAACGGACGCGAAGCUUGCUUCUCUGAUGUUAGCGGCGGACGGGUGAGUAACACGUGGAUAACCUACCUAUAAGACUGGGAUAACUUCGGGAAACCGGAGCUAAUACCGGAUAAUAUUUUUAACCGCAUGGUUCAAAAGUGAAAGACGGUCUUGCUGUCACUUAUAGAUGGAUCCGCGCUGCAUUAGCUAGUUGGUAAGGUAACGGCUUACCAAGGCAACGAUGCAUAGCCGACCUGAGAGGGUGAUCGGCCACACUGGAACUGAGACACGGUCCAGACUCCUACGGGAGGCAGCAGUAGGGAAUCUUCCGCAAUGGGCGAAAGCCUGACGGAGCAACGCCGCGUGAGUGAUGAAGGUCUUCGGAUCGUAAAACUCUGUUAUUAGGGAAGAACAUAUGUGUAAGUAACUGUGCACAUCUUGACGGUACCUAAUCAGAAAGCCACGGCUAACUACGUG
rnacentral:rRNA from 1 species